rnacentral:lncRNA from 1 species
GAAAUAUCAGUGGUUGGACCAUAAGAAGAUCCUCAAUCAGAAGUACCUAAAGAUGAGGUACAUCUAUAAUACACACCUUCUCUCUGAAAAUUAGAUAGAGUGCAUCAAGCACCUCUGAGAUAUGAUUUUAUCAUUGAGAAUGACAAUUUGAUUAAUAUCAUUUAAGAUGAUGAUCCACUGACCUAUUCGGAAGCUGUCAUGAGUAGAGACUUGGACAGA